GGGUCGUGAGUGGUUUCGACGGCUGGUGAGCACCGCACGCGGACACCGACCGGACGCCGGUUCGACUCCGGCACGAUCCA
rnacentral:tRNA from 1 species